rnacentral:rRNA from 1 species
GGUUCCUACGGGAGGCAGCAGUAGGGAAUCUUCCACAAUGGACGAAAGUCUGAUGGAGCAACGCCGCGUGAGUGAAGAAGGGUUUCGGCUCGUAAAGCUCUGUUGGUAGUGAAGAGGGAUAGAGGUAGUAACUGGCCUUUUUUUGACGGUAAUUACUUAGAAAGUCACGGCUAACUACGUGCCAGCAGCCGCGGUAAUACGUAUGUGGCAAGCGUUUUCCGGAUUUAUUGGG